rnacentral:sRNA from 1 species
UGUUAUGCGUUAGGGAUUGAAGCGGCAUCCUUUUUCAGCUUUUUCGCUGAAAAAGAUAGAGCUGAAAGCCCGACCACGU